rnacentral:lncRNA from 1 species
GAUGAAAUUAACUAACUUUUAUAUCAAAAUCACUGCCAUUUGCAUUUCUAAAUAUUAUUAUGCUUGUCACUAUUAAACAUGUCAUCAAAUUCACUGUCAUUUACACUUCAGAUCUACACUUACAGCACAAAAUCUGGAUAACUCUGAUGAAACUCGGAGCUACACUUACACUUUUAAGUAUGUUUGUAUACGAAACUCUAAUGAACACUUCAUUUCUCUUACAGAUAUGGAACUGUUCGCGUGACGAAGGUAAUUGCAUAUAGUCACGCUGUUAUUGCAUUUUAUGAAUUAGUCAUCACCUUGCUAUGAAAACUUGUGCAAUUUAUAUUAUUUUUCACCAUGUUCAUUCAUUAAUAUUCAUUGUCUUCUUAAAUUUGGACAUUUUUUAAGAUCCAAUUUCCUAGAAAUCAGUUUUUUAACUUUUGAGUUGACUUUCGCACCAAAGAAGUGUCAAAUUUUAAGAGUUUUGGCUAUUUGAUCAUUGUAUUGUAACAAGGCAAGCCUGUCCUGUAGCAUGUAUUUUGAUUUUUUUAGUGUAUUUCUUGAACUGAUAAACCUAAAUCAUUCUUUAUUGUUGCUAUGCCUUACUAGUUCUAGUAUUAAAACUGUUGAUUGUAGUGAGCUUAAAUUAACACAUGGAUGCUCGUUUGUGGUUAAGGAUUAAAUUAAACUCGAUAACUAACGAACCCCUUGAAUUGAUUGCUUUAAAAUCACAAUUUUCAAUUAUGUUUGUGUUUAUUUCAUUGUUAAACAUAACUCCUCCAAACCUUAUAGUUUUCUUUCUUAAUUUGGUAUAAUUUCAAAGUUGGUUAGUCAGGAAACAGUUCGCGUUAACACUUUUGCAGAAAAUGGUCAAACAGGUCAAUAACUUCAUUAAGUCUUUCUAUAUGAAGAAUAUUUUAUGCCUGAUAAAAUUCAUUCAUUUUGCACUACAGUUCUUGUCAAUGAAACUUGCUUAUGUGAAUCCUAUGUUAUGUGAGUCCUAUGUUCUAUGACUUGGCAGCAGACCUAGACACUUUCUUGGGUAGACCAGAGGUGAGGAAGAAAACUUAGUGACAAUAUAUAAUUCAUAUAUAAUAUAGUUGAUUCAAAUGAUAUAUAUUGUCUAAUAAUGAAAUUAACUAACUUUUAUAUCAAAAUCAUUGUCGUCUGCAUUUCUAAUCAAGAUAGAAACACUGUUGCAGCAUGUAUGCAUUAUAAUUCAUAGCAAAAUUCACAACACUAGAGCAUAGGAAAUAACAUGUCAGAAGAUAAAAGUAUUGAUACUAAAACACUAAAGCAUGAUCCAUUCCAGUGACCCCAAGAUGUUAAUCUAAAUGCAUUACACAAUACCUACUUGUUUAGAUCGAAUGAACAACAACAAUAAGGCUUAACGUUAAGAGGAAUCCACAAGUCACUCACUAGAGCUCAACUCGUUUUUCCGACCCCAAUCUCCCCAAAAAAAUCACCCAAUGUGUCAUCAAAUCUGUAAUGUGCCAUAAAACCUAAACAAGAAUACACAACUAAGAGUGAGACAACGACACUUACCUUGAGAAUCGACCACAGAUGACAGCGCGACGGGGACACUGAACGACGACUAUGAGAUUGACGGUGUCGGAGUUUGAGAGGGAGACGGUGACCGACUCUGAGAGUGAAGGUGACAGGUUUGAUAGGUCACAUGUUGGGCGGCGAUACUCACGACAUUUAGAGGAAUGAGAUUCGGUGAUGGAUUCAAGUGUGAGAGAAGGGUUCAAUGUAUGUAUGAAGGGUUCAACACUUAGGGAUUUAGAGAAGAACUCAAAACUUAGGGAUUCAGAGAGAAUGGUUCUUUUAAAACCCAAACAUUUUAAUUUUACGAUAUGAUUUUAUAAAUAAUAUUAAAAAAUUUAAAAAUACCCUAGCGUCGGCCCAUCCGACACUACAUAUUAAAAUAAAAAUUAUAAAAUUAAAUUAAUAAACUAGCGUAUGUUUUAUUUUACGUAGCGUCGGCUACUCUGACGCUAAUCGUCAAUAAAAUUGAAAAAUGAAAUUUGGUGCCUUAGCGUCGACCCAGCCGACGCUAAACCGACGCUAAGUAGCGUCGAAGUCGGGGGCCGACGCUAAUAAUGGCACAGCUAAAAUGCAAUUUUCUAAUAGUGGUUAUGGGUGUUUAUAAUGUGGUUUGGUUCGGAUUUAAGGAAAAAAAAUAUCAAUCCAAAUAUAAAAUUACAUAUAGUUGGUUCGGUUUGGAUAUUACGUUUCAAAAAAUCGAUACAAUCUCAUCCAAUUGUAAACAAUUUAAUUUAGAAAAGUCUUUAAUAUUUAAAUUAUAACUGUAAAAGAAAUAUAUUAAUAUUAUAAAAAUAAAUUAAAUAUAAAAUAUAACUAAUAAUAUAUUCGAAUUUAACGUAACAAUUCUUAGUUCCUAUGAAAUUUUAUAUUUUACUUUUAGACUCUAUAAAAAAAUUAUUUAUCUUUAAUUACACAAAAAAAAUUAAUUUUGUUUUUUUGUCUUUAUUUUCAAAUCAAAUUAUAUUUAUCAUUCAAAUUGAACAUUAUAAGAAUUAUUUAAGAACUAAAGAUGAAAAAUUUGUUUAUAAACAUUAAUUACGAGAUUAAAAACUUAAGACAGAUAAAUCCAUAUAAUGAUUGGUACGAAGUUAUACAAAGAGCAUCGCAUUUCAUCAUCUAUGGAAGAACCAAAACCACCUGUAAUUGCUCCAACUCUUCAAACUCCUAGUUCCAAGAAGAGGCCACUCGACACUGAUAAUUCCAAUUCCAAUUACUUCAAGAUUCGUGCCCUUAUUCGAGAUCUUCGCCCCCAUUUUAUCCAGGUACAUUACAUACUACCCCCAUUUUCCCUAAAUACCUUAAAUCCUAUUAAAAUCUUUUCUUUUUCGUGGAAUGCGAGUAUUUUUGUUGUUAUCUUAUCUGGGUUUUUCUUUGUUCAUUAUUGUAUUUGAUGAAAUGUAUGUUCCUGAAACAAGUUAAUUUAUAUUCUUGUUAGGGGUUUCAAUUCUUUCAUUUUUUUUUUUUUUAUUUUCAAUUUAGGGCUAAAUUGGUAUGUGAAAGUAUUUUACCUUGCUUUUGUUUUGUUUAUUUUUAUUUACUAAAUUGAAUUUAGGGCUUACCAAUGUUAGGGAUUUCAUUCUAGUUUUAGGGGGUUUUCAUUGAUUGUGAAUAACAUGUUGUAAGGACAAGUUCAUAAUCAAAGGAAAGGAGAUUUUUUUUAUGUAUUACACUACUUGUUAGGAGUCCUAAUUCUGGACCUAGUAAGGUAAUUAGGUUUAUCUAAUCUCAGUAUCUUAUAUCCAGAUUUUGCUUCGAGUAUUCUCUCUUUUUCUGCUUCAGCAUUGAUAGUUUAUUAACUUAAUGGUGUGAGAGACCUGGGUUAGACGAGUUUGGAUACUUGGAUUGUAAACUUAUUGAUAAGGAAUUUGCUGUGAGAUAUAUUGUAAAAGGGAGUAGUAUGGGAAAAAGAAUGAUUGGGUGAUCGGUCAAGUAGCAACAUGUUUGUUAUUUUCUAUCUUUAGCCUUGUUCUCUCUGGUUGCCUUCCAGCUUAUACCAAUAUUCACGUGUUAAAAUAAUGCGGUUGGAAAAUUGAAAUCUGAAAGUAUUAUAUUUGAUUACAUAGUAGUUAUUGUUUCAUUUUUCAAUAGUUUAUAAUUCAUACUUAAGACCUGAUCACCUGCUUUCUUUGUGAGAAUUUGUAUAGCCUUAUAACCCCGUUUGCUUUUUUAUCGGUUCUCUUGGGAAUGUGGAUCCAAAGUGUCUGAUGGACUUUGGACAGUAGAGUUCAGAAGUUGAUAGCUGUUGACUAAAAAUUCAAUAUUUAAAUGGCCAUAUAAUUAUAAAAUACAUCUCUUAGAUAAUAACUCGUUUAUGUAAUGCGUCCCUUUAUUUUCAUCGAUGAUUACCACUUGUACCUAUUCCUAAAUAUACCCUGUGCUUUAGAGGAUCUAGGUCCUUCUUAGGAACAUGCCAUGUAGAAAUUUUACAAAAUUUUGAAUAUAGAAUGAUAUAGGAUGAAGUUUACAAGGAGAUGGGGAGUUUCCAUGGUUUCUCUACAAAAAUUUGUUCAUUUUUAGUACUUUCCCGAAUAAGAAAACGAAAAGAAAAAUAAAUGGUUCAUUUGACCAUCUGAUUCAGCACAAAUUUGGUACUUCCCUUGUUUGUUUUUUUUUUUUAUAUUGUAGCUCUUUUAUUUUACGGUAGCAAGUGCACGCUCCUCUUAGGAAGAUGCAUCAUUAAUUGUGAUAAACUCUUGCAAGCUUUGUUGCACCAUUAUGCAUUGACUAUAUGUUGUACUGGACUACUAUGUAUGUAGCUAGUAGUUUCUUUUCUACGAUCUGAUCCGAUCCAAGUCACGUGUUAUGAACAUGUAUUGAAGUCGUUUUCUUAAGCUGAUAUGAAUAUGUAUUGAACUAGUUCAGUUGACUGAAAAUCUCAAUUCCCUUUGUCUUGAUUCAUGGAAUUUAUGUUUUUGCUCAAAAUACUAAAACAAGUGUCUAAUGAUUGCUGCUUUUUGAUCUUGAAGGUUCUCCAAAUUCCUGACUACAAAAAUUGCAAGGCAUCCCAUGAAAUUCGAGACCGUAAGUUGACCAAACUAUCAAAUCAUAAUUCAAAACGACAUAUAGGUGGUUGCUUGAAUUGUGUAAUAUGCUUUUUACUUUAACUUGUAAUUGCAGAACUGAAAACUGUGCUGAAGUUAUACAAUGAUAUGAAAGCGCAAGUAGUUUCGCAAGCGAAGCAGCAGGCUCAACAUGUCAAGUCUUCAGAGCAAUCUCAAGUAGAGAAAUCAUUUGCGCGACCAUCUGUAGCUGAAGACAGUCAGACACCCGGCACAUACGUUAUUGGAGGAUCCGCUUUUGGAUGGAAUUUCAUCACUUUUCCAGCCGCACAUCCUGUCUAUUAUGGUAGGACAAAGGAACAAUUUCGAUCAGAAAAAGUGACCGAGUAAUCCUUGGGCGCACAAUCACAGACUUACUACGUGCACAACCUGUCCAUCGGAACACCUGUUCAUUCAACCAAAAGUAUAGUGUAUUAUCAGUUUCUAUAAACUUACUAUUUUUUUUUCCCUUAGUCCUUUUUCUAUUAACAUUUUUAAAAUUCAGCAAGAGACUCGUACAUGUUCUGUCAUAUUUUUAGUAGCAGUUGGACUUUUCAUUAUGAAAGCAAAACAUGUUUUUUUGUUCAUUAAAAGUUUACUGAAAAAGGAAAUUUUUGUAUCUUGUGCAAGUUAUGUAACUCUUUUAUAUGAGCUCCUAUUAUUCUAUAUCUUGUGCAAGUUAUGUAACUCUUUUUCUAAUAUGCCCUAUGUCUAUUUUCAUUUUUUUUUAAUCUUGCACAUAUUAUUAAUCACAAUAAUCAAAGACAGCAUUCAGAUUUAUCCAAUUCAAAGAAACAAUUUCAAUUUCUUUCUCAGCCAUUUCUGGAGUUUUGCAGAAUUGAUUUCAAGGCUUCAAGCUGACAUAUAAUGUGGCAUUCUCCCAUAAAUGGCAAGCAUCUAUCAAAACCAAAAACACCUGAAAUUUUUACCAACAUAUUCAACCACAUUCUGAGCUGAACAAAAUCGUAACAAUUUGUUCAACUCGUUUAACAUAUUAUAUGAACCAACAUGGAUGAUUAGAAACAUAUUAUUUAUUGACUAUAUUAAGGACUUAACGUAUUUUUGGUUGUGCGGUGACCAAAAGUAAUUUUUAGUGAAUUGAUUUUGUAAAAUUGAUUUUAGUUAAAAUUGAGUUGAAAGUAAAUUGAUUUAUAUUUGUAUAUGUUUAGAUAAAAGUUAAUUCAACGAUAAAUUUCAAUAUAAAUAUCAUGUUUGAAUUCAAAAGUUAUAAAUCAUAGUUUCAACUUAGAAUUAAUUUUGGAUACUGAAUCAAUUCUGCUUAACAUCACUCAAAUAUGCCAAAAUCAAUUUUACUCUAAAAUUGAAAUCAAUCGUAAAAUUAGUAAAUAGUCUCUUUAUAUACUGCCAAAUAAAAAAGUAUCUUUGUAUUCCUCUAUCCCAUGUUACAUCAAGUAACCCAAAUACAAUUAGUAAAAAAAAAAUUAACAUCAAGAAACGCACUUUAAUAUUUUUUAUUUAUAAUUAAUUUUAUUUCAAAUUAAUACAACAAAUAUAUUAAAUAUCAAAAAAACACAAAAUAUUUAGUUAGUUUUUAAAAUGAUGAUAAAUAUAUAAUAAUAAUAAUAAUAAUAAUGAUGAAAAAAACAUGAUAUAUAUGUAUUUUGAAUUUGCUAAACGUUAAAUUAUUUUUUAGGUGUGUAGGAAAAAAAGAAUCUGAUUACUUUGUCUGAGCCCAGGUUCGAACUGGGGACCUCUAGUGUGUGAGACUAGCGUGAUAACCAACUACACCACCCAGACAUCUGAUGUUAAUAGCAUCCUUUUUAAAUUAUAUGAAUUAAAACUGAGAUAAAAGACAAAGAUAAAAUCAUUAAUUUCCUGGUUGCAAGAAAAUCGUUAAUUUUGUUAUACAUUCAAAAGAAGUACACCUUAUUGCAAUAAUAAUAAUAGUCCCUCGUACCAAAAAUGGUGUUAGUUUCAUUUUUGUUAUAGCUUCUUUUACAAAUGAUUUUGAAGAUAUUUAAUCUUUUUGUUAUAGCUUAUAAAAUGAUUUUUUUUUAAAUUCAAAUAAAAAAUUGAUCUAAAUAGUUUCUCAUAAAAAAUUAUUUUAAGUUUUUCUGAUUCAGCACAAAUUUGGUACUUCCCUUGUUUGUUUUUUUUUUUUAUAUUGUAGCUCUUUUAUUUUACGGUAGCAAGUGCACGCUCCUCUUAGGAAGAUGCAUCAUUAAUUGUGAUAAACUCUUGCAAGCUUUGUUGCACCAUUAUGCAUUGACUAUAUGUUGUACUGGACUACUAUGUAUGUAGCUAGUAGUUUCUUUUCUACGAUCUGAUCCGAUCCAAGUCACGUGUUAUGAACAUGUAUUGAAGUCGUUUUCUUAAGCUGAUAUGAAUAUGUAUUGAACUAGUUCAGUUGACUGAAAAUCUCAAUUCCCUUUGUCUUGAUUCAUGGAAUUUAUGUUUUUGCUCAAAAUACUAAAACAAGUGUCUAAUGAUUGCUGCUUUUUGAUCUUGAAGGUUCUCCAAAUUCCUGACUACAAAAAUUGCAAGGCAUCCCAUGAAAUUCGAGACCGUAAGUUGACCAAACUAUCAAAUCAUAAUUCAAAACGACAUAUAGGUGGUUGCUUGAAUUGUGUAAUAUGCUUUUUACUUUAACUUGUAAUUGCAGAACUGAAAACUGUGCUGAAGUUAUACAAUGAUAUGAAAGCGCAAGUAGUUUCGCAAGCGAAGCAGCAGGCUCAACAUGUCAAGUCUUCAGAGCAAUCUCAAGUAGAGAAAUCAUUUGCGCGACCAUCUGUAGCUGAAGACAGUCAGACACCCGGCACAUACGUUAUUGGAGGAUCCGCUUUUGGAUGGAAUUUCAUCACUUUUCCAGCCGCACAUCCUGUCUAUUAUGGUAGGACAAAGGAACAAUUUCGAUCAGAAAAAGUGACCGAGUAAUCCUUGGGCGCACAAUCACAGACUUACUACGUGCACAACCUGUCCAUCGGAACACCUGUUCAUUCAACCAAAAGUAUAGUGUAUUAUCAGUUUCUAUAAACUUACUAUUUUUUUUUCCCUUAGUCCUUUUUCUAUUAACAUUUUUAAAAUUCAGCAAGAGACUCGUACAUGUUCUGUCAUAUUUUUAGUAGCAGUUG